rnacentral:rRNA from 1 species
UACGUAGGGGGCAAGCGUUGUCCGGAUUCAUUGGGCGUAAAGAGCGUGUAGGCGGCCAGGUAGGUCGGUUGUGAAAACUGGAGGCUCAACCUUCAGAGGUCGACCGAAACCAUCUGGCUAGAGUCCGGGAGAGGAGAGUGGAAGUUCCUGGUGUAGCGGUGAAAUGCGCAGAUAUCAGGAAGAACACCCGUGGCGAAAGCGGCUCUCUGGAACGGUACUGACGCUGAGACGCGAAAGCGUGGGGAGCGAACAGG